UUUCUCCUUUGCAAGUGGUGGUGAACAAUCGUGAUUUGGAAAGUGGUGAUCUAAGAAGACACUAAGCAAGUUGUGCAGCAAACAUAGCAGUCAGCUGGAGAAAUACCUACCCCUCAAGAGUUAUCACAGUUUACCUCUCCUAUAUAAGGCACAGCUCAGAGCCGCUGCAUUUUUUUCUCAGUACCUGCAGUGGACCAGUGCAUUCUACCAAUCAGCAAGGCUAACACUGGUCUUUUUUUUAACAGACUUCAUAAAUACUUGAUUUUUAGGAAGGUGUAAGAACGACACAGGAGACGUUUUACAGGUGGAAGGUUGGUGUUUUUACGUCUUUUAAAAUAUACUGACAGCCAUCCUCUGACACAAAAGUAUCUUUGUACUGUGUGUCUAAUAUUAAAGAAAUCAUCUGCCAAAUUUUAUUUCAUAUAGUAACAUGGCAUGUGUCUGUGAGUUUCUUCAGAAACACCUGCUUUUAUAGGUCAAAGACAAAGAAGGCCCGUUAAAGACCCUCUAACAAGCACAAGAAGGUUUUUCUGGUAAUAAACUGACGAGAAAAACGUUCUGACUCGGUGGUCGUAAGACCAAGCCUUACGCCAGGCCAAAGACAGAGUGCGAUGCGUGUGGAGAACCGGACACGACCUGAAUAACACUGGAGAAAUGCCAGCACAGAACCCCUCUGCAUGAUGACGAUGACGAACCCAUGACAUUUCUGGAAUAUUUACGCCGUAUAGAGCAGGAAGAAGACAAAAAACAAGCAACUACAAUACAGACAGUGUGUGAUAGUGGAGAGCUAGACCCCUGUUUUUAACAACUGGUCACCUCAGGGUGAGUGCGUGCCUGCUGAUUUUAUCAAUGUUUUUGAGCACAGUGUAUCAGACUUUAAUUUAGAUCUCUUACCUACCAUACCCAGGUGCAUUAGAAUUAAUGAUGAUGAUGUUACACGCAUAGAUUUAGAAGAAGGUUGUAUAACAGAUUCUCAACUAGCAGAGUCUUAUGACACCUGCAUGAAUACCACUGGUGCUCAACUUUCUGACCAGAGUUCUAGUGACCCAACAGCCGAUAACAUGUGAUAGAAGCUAAACUUAACCAACAACAACAAGCAACAACAAGCAUUUUUAAUGUCUGACUUUUAAAGCCCUAGCCAUGGACCCUCUUAAUAAGUUAUUCAAACACAGUAAUGGUACCGCUAAGCCUGUUAGAUGGUUAGACUUUGAGGUAUUUAAUCAGAGGACUGAAGAAAUAAUAACGAAAUAUGAUAUUUUACACAGAAGACUGAAUAGUAUGCGUGUCUGUGAGAAAGCAACCCGUGCCACACCAUCUGAUGCUGCUUCUGCUGCUCCUGCACACAUCACAGUACAUCUCCAUUCCUCUAAUGUGAUCACUAUUCCUUCUGCAUGAGCCCUCCAACACUGACAAUGUGUUAAUCUUUCACAGACAAGAGCUGCCCUUACCAAACCUGCACAGGUUUGUUAAACACAGUCAUACCUGCUUCUAAUGCAAGAGAAUUGCGUGAGCGUAUUGAUUUGAGAGACAUAAGCGUGGAUAUUCCAGACCAGGUACCAGCGAGGGUAAGAGAUUGCGUAGCCAAUGUCAUAGAUAGAUAGGGCAGUGUCUGGCUUUCAGCCGGGCAAAUGUUGUUUUCAGAGGCGCUUCCCUGGCUUCUGAUGUACAAACUGUUUUAAAUGCUGAAGAUAAGUACAAUGAAAUUUUCUUGAUGAAAUAGGACGGGUCAUGCAGAGUAAUGAUGGUUCUAUAGGUGAUGACGAAUUAGUUUGUCACAGUAGCGCAGAACAGUAACGGUGGUGCCUGUUUAAGACUGGCACGCAUACCAUAUGACAACAUACUGUCAAAGAAAGGUAAAGAUUUGUACAUACCAAACAAUGCCCCAAACAACUUGUGCUAUGCAAAAGGCAUUACAGACACCCAAAAUUUUGUGGGUACAUGUUCAUAGCACAUAACGCACCUGGCUUUGAUAACUACAUACUACUUCUAGGUUUUGAAGUCCUGGAGACGGGUCACACAAAUUUAAUACAAGAGGUAAUGAGUAUUAUGUGGGACCAUACCCAGACCCCUCCUUCUACGGCUAUGACACGAUGUCUGAAAGUGGUGAGAUUUAUGGAAUGGUACCAGACUGUCUCCCAGAAUCUCCCAGUCUCCCUCUGAUUUUCCAUGCUGAAUUGAGGCGUUACUGUGUUAACGAUGUUGAUGACAUGCUGGCUCUUAUGUAUGAUGGUGCAUAUGUUGACCAGAAUAAGAUGUUUUCUAACUUCCCUUUUGAAUGGCUUCAAUAUGUAGCCCACACUACCAACACAGUGGUAAAACACGUGCUCCGAGGAGCUGAACAGAGUUGGUCCAUAUUUUGUGGAUGGUUUUCACCCCACAAACAAUACGGCUUGUGAAUUUGCAGGGUGUUUUCACCAUGGGGUUAAACCUGUCAGCAAGGCAUCCUAUGGACUGCUGCAUCAAGCGUUUUGUGAUAAAGUGAAUGCGUUGAGAUCACAACACAGUGUGAACGUGGUUGUGAUGUGGGAGUGUGAAUGGGAGGCAUUGAAGUAGACAGUCCCCGCAGUUAUGACAUUCAUGCGCACAUACAGAAAGCCAGAACACCUGAACCCUCGAGAUGCCGUCUUUGGAGUGUGCACCAACACCAUGAAACUGUACCACAAGACUACUUGUUAUGAAAAAAUAUUUUACUAUGAUUUUACCAGCCUCUAUCCCACAGUGCAGUCUAAAAGAUGAUCCUGUCAGGCACCCGCACAUCAUUUACAACAACUUUGACAGGCUGGAAAAUUAUUUCAGCUUUGUUAAAUGCUCAGUACUCCCACCUAGAGGUCUGUUUCACCCAGUCCUUUCCUACAGAACAAACUGAUGUUCCCACUCUGUAGCAUGUGUUCUGAAAAGCAGAACCAGCAGACAGCAUGCCUGCACACUGACAGUGAGAGGAUGUUGUCGGGCACCUGGGUGUCGUUUGAGCUUGAAAAAGCUCUUGAGAAAGGAUACAGGAUUGUUUCUAUUGAUGAGGUGCGGCAUUUUCCCCAAUAAGAGAGACACAUUGUUUAAAGCCUUUUUAAAACUUAAACAGGAGGCUUCAGGCUAUCCAGAACAUGGUAAAACUCCUGAUGACCAGCAGAAGUACACUGACAAGUGUUAUGAGGAGGGAAUAAUGCUAGACUCGACCAAGAGAUGUGUAGAUAAAGCUGUUAGAAACUGUAACAAACUUCUGCUAAACUUGUUAUGGGCGCAUUUCAGCAUGAGGGCAAACAUUCAUCUGAGUUAAUCACGGACCCUUCUAGAUUCAGCCAGUUAAUAUUUAGUGACCAGUACGACAUGCGUCAGUUUUGUUUCAUCUCUGAUGAUGUCACCAUGGUGCAGUGGUGCCAUGCUGGUGGUAGAGCAGCCCGUGUGAAGGAUGUUAAUGUCUUUGUGGAUGCCAUGACCACUGCACACUAGACUGAUGCUGUAUGAUUUGCUGUACAAGCUACAGCAGCGCGUGUUGUAUUGUGACACGGGCAGUGUCACUUUCACAGCACGCCCUGGCGUCUGGAUGCCGCCUCUAGGACCCUUCCUCAGGGAUCUCACAGGUGAACUAGAUUCUAGAGAGGGGGAUGCCGAUUUAGUCGAUAGUCGAAUUUGUGUCCGCAGGGCCAAAAUGCUAUGCAUAUCACACGUUGCAGGUCAAGACACACAGGUUAAAUGUAAAGGUGUAAAACUCAAUGUGCUAAACUCAAAAGUUGUCACCCACGACUCCUUGAAAGGAUUAGUCCAUGUGUUUGUAGCCAAUCAGACAUCAUACACGCACCGAGUAUCUGUAUCUGAUACUAUCAGACGUGAUAAAAAGAUGGGGUCAAAAACGCUGUUGAAAAUGCUUCCAGGAUUAUUUCACGAUGGAUGGAUGGAUGGAUGGAUGUAGCCGCUAUAUAACCAUUUUCUUCAGAUAAGAGACAUUAACUUUGUGGUAUGCCUACCUACAGACAAGAACAAUUUGCUAAUUAUAGAUAAUUUAAUGAAUGAUGCCGCUAAUAAUGUACAAGUACAAAAUGUGUUCAUGAAAUAUGUGCAUCAUAGGAAUUUGAGUUGUAUAUAUCUAGUUCAGAAUUUGUUUUAUUCAAGGAAAAUCCAGUAGAACCAUUUCCUUGAACACUAACUUACCUAAUUUUGUUUAACCCCAGAGAUAAAUGGAACCAAUUUACUGUCAGACCAUCCUGUAGUUUAUAUCCCAAAGCAAAAAACACGGAAGAGGUGAAAGGAUGGCAUUGCGCAUGCAGGGGAAUCUCUCUGUUGGCACUGAUAUACAAGUCAUCCCCUAGCCUGCGCAGACUUAUUAUUAGUAAUGCAAACAUAGAUUUCAUUAAUGCAUUGUGAGAUAGCCUUUAACGUACUGCAAGGCAGAUCAUUAGUACAAACAACCAAAAAAAAAACCCCAAUAAUCAGACUGAUCACUGACAAAAAGAUCAAAACUUUGAAAACCUUUUCGUAACCAGUCUGAUAGCGAACAGGUGAACAUGGAGCAUGUGCAAAAGAUGUUUUUGGUACCCCAACAUCAGUUGGACUUAUUAGAGCAGCAGCAGCAUGCAGGAACCAUCAGGAAUGGAGAGCUUAUUUUAUCAGUGCUGAACCGCUCGCCAGACUUGAUUUCUUACAAUGACAAAGGUGAAAUUGUUGUUGAUAAACGCACCAUCCCGCAUUCUCGCAUUUAUAAUCUGAUUAAACCAGUGACAACUACACACAACAUUUCUGAGGGUUGGAGACCUAUUGGCUGGAAAGAAUACAUGGAGCGGACCGUCGAGGCUUAGUAUAUUAAAUAAAAUAACUGGAUUGUUGAAUUCAGAGCCUUUUUUAUGAUUAGAAUGUUGGGGGGGGGGGGGUUUUUCUUUUAUUCUGCGAAAAAUGUUUGUUGGAUGUUUUUUGUUUUUUUUGUUUGUUUUUUUUUUUCUGCUAAAAUGUUUGUUGGUUGUUUUUCACUUAUUACUGCCAAAAUAUUGAAUUUUCUUUUAUUUCAGCUAAAAUGGCUAUGAUGUGAAUGUAUAAUAUACAUUUAUUGAUAAUAAA